rnacentral:sRNA from 1 species
CCAAAAAGGUAUCACAUGCCAAGUUUGGCCUC